GAUUACGGCAGCAACGCGUUGCCACUUUCGAAGAUGCCUGCAGGCAUAUCUGACUUAUUAUAAAUACAUAAUGACAUAUUAAUGACUUGACAUCGUCUUUUGAACUAUCAAGUGGUUACUGGUUACGCGUUUCUGAGAAUCGUUUGUAAGACGUUGCUACUCUAGUAUUUUAGAAACUCAUUGGCUUAGACAUUUAUG